GACAGAGGGGGCAAGCGUUGCUCGGAAUUACUGGGCGUAAAGGGCGCGUAGGCGGAAUGGCAAGUCGGUCGUGAAAUCCCUGAGCUCAACUCAGGAACUGCACUCGAAACUACUUGUCUUGAGUACCGGAGAGGAAAGCGGAAUACCUGGUGUAGAGGUGAAAUUCGUAGAUAUCAGGUGGAACACCAGUGGCGAAGGCGGCUUUCUGGACGGUAACUGACGCUGAGACGCGAAAGCGUGGGGAGCAAACAGG
rnacentral:rRNA from 1 species